rnacentral:rRNA from 1 species
AACGAACGCUGGCGGCAGGCCUAAUACAUGCAAGUCGAGCGCCCAGCAAUGGGAGCGGCGCACGGGUGCGUAACGCGUGGGAAUAUGCCUUUAGGUACGGAACAACCAAGGGAAACUUUGGCUAAUACCGGAUAAUAUCUUCGGAUCAAAGAAUUUCGCCUAAAGAUUAGCCCGCGUCUGAUUAGCUAGUUGGUGGGGUAAAGGCCUACCAAGGCGACGAUCAGUAGCUGGUCUGAGAGGAUGAUCAGCCACACUGGAACUGAGACACGGUCCAGACUCCUACGGGAGGCAGCAGUAAGGAAUAUUGGACAAUGGGGGCAACCCUGAUCCAGCCAUGUCGCGUGAGUGACGAAGGCCCUAGGGUUGUAAAGCUCUUUUGGUGGGGAAGAUAAUGACUGUACCCACAGAAUAAGCCCCGGCUAAAUUCGUGCCAGCCGCCGCAGUAA